AGGUUCGAAUCCUGCACGACCCACCAGUUUUAGCAUCGAAGACAGAUGUUAAGCGUGUAGGAUAACGUUGCGUCAGCAACGGCCCGUAGGGCGAGCGAAGCGAGUCAUCCUGCACGACCCACCA
rnacentral:sRNA from 1 species